UUUCGCAAUGCCCGAAAGGGUGACGAAGCGACGCCGCGUGUGGGAAGAAGGCCUUCGGGUUGUAAACCACUGUCGGGAGUUAAGAAAUGCAAGGAUAUUAAUAGUGUCUUUGUUUGACUAAGGCUCCGGAGGAAGCCACGGCUAACUCUGUGCCGGCAGCCGCGGUAAUACAGAGGCGGCAAGCGUUGUUCGGAAUUAUUGGGCGUAAAGAGCACGUAGGCGGCUAUGUAAGUCGGUUGUGAAAGCCUUCCGCUCAACGGAAGAACAGCAUCCGACACUACAUGGCUUGAGUGCGGAAGGGGAGAGUGGAACUUCUGGUGGAGCGGUGAAAUGCGUAGAUAUCAGAAGGAACGCCGGCGGCGAAAGCGGCUCUCUGGCCCAUAACUGACGCUGAGUGUGCGAAAGCUAGGGGAGCAAACGGGAUUAGAUACCCCGGUAGUCCUAGCCGUAAACGAUGGGCACUAAGUAGAGGGGUUUU
rnacentral:rRNA from 1 species